CCUACGGGAGGCAGCAGUGAGGAAUAUUGGUCAAUGGACGCGAGUCUGAACCAGCCAAGUAGCGUGAAGGAUGACUGCCCUAUGGGUUGUAAACUUCUUUUAUAUGGGAAUAAAGUUGUCCACGUGUGGAUUUUUGUAUGUACCAUAUGAAUAAGGAUCGGCUAACUCCGUGCCAGCAGCCGCGGUAAUACGGAGGAUCCGAGCGUUAUCCGGAUUUAUUGGGUUUAAAGGGAGCGUAGGCGGACGCUUAAGUCAGUUGUGAAAGUUUGCGGCUCAACCGUAAAAUUGCAGUUGAUACUGGGUGUCUUGAGUACAGUAGAGGCAGGCGGAAUUCGUGGUGUAGCGGUGAAAUGCUUAGAUAUCACGAAGAACUCCGAUUGCGAAGGCAGCACACUAAGCCGUAACUGACGUUCAUGCUCGAAAG
rnacentral:rRNA from 1 species